rnacentral:rRNA from 1 species
UCCGGGUUGAUCCUGCCAGAGGUUACUGCUAUCGGUGUUCGACUAAGCCAUGCGAGUCAUAUGUUCUUCGUGAACAUGGCGGACUGCUCAGUAACACGUGGAUAACCUGCCCUUAGGUUUGGCAUAACUCCGGGAAACUGGAGAUAAUUCCGAAUAGGUCAAAUAUGCUGGAAUGCUUUUUGACCAAAAGACCUCGGUUGCCUAAGGAUGGAUUUGCGGUCUAUCAGGUAGUAGUGGGUGUAACGUACCUACUAGCCUACGACGGAUAUGGGUUGUGAGAGCAAGAGCCCAGAGAUGGAUUCUGAGACAUGAAUCCAGGCCCUACGGGGCGCAGCAGGCGCGAAAACUUUACAAUGCGGGAAACCGCGAUAAGGGGACACCGAGUGCCAGCAUUUAUGUUGGCUGUCCACAUGUGUAAACGGCAUGUGUUAGCAAGGGCCGGGCAAGACCGGUGCCAG